CCAAGUCCUAUGUUCUGAACGUGUCGGUGCCUGGGAACUGAGCUGAAUCACUUCGAAGCAGCUAUGCGUUUCAAUGGGCGGAAUCUAAAAUUCUAUACCUAUGUAUAUGGCUAACUAAGAACAGUGCAGACCUACUUAAAGAGAACUUCGCCCCAAUGUUAAACACGCUUAAGAGGGACAUGCAGGAAUGGUCCUAUCCACAUAUCUAGUGGCUGGGCUGCAUCCAGGUGGCUAAAAUGAACUUUCUACCGUGGAUGCUCUAUCUGCAGCAGGCUAUCUCCAUCCUAAUACCAUCAUCUUACUUUACCUCCCUACGCAUGGC